rnacentral:rRNA from 1 species
GAUGAACGCUGGCGGCGUACCUAAUACAUGCAAGUCGAGCGAACGGACGAGAAGCUUGCUUCUCUGAUGUUAGCGGCGGACGGGUGAGUAACACGUGGAUAACCUACCUAUAAGACUGGGAUAACUUCGGGAAACCGGAGCUAAUACCGGAUGAUAUUUUGAACCGCAUGGUUCAAAAGUGAAAGACGGCCUUGCUGUCACUUAUAGAUGGAUCCGCGCUGCAUUAGCUAGUUGGUAAGGUAACGGCUUACCAAGGCAACGAUGCAUAGCCGACCUGAGAGGGUGAUCGGCCACACUGGAACUGAGACACGGUCCAGACCCCUACGGGAGGCAGCAGUAGGGAAUCUUCCGCAAUGGGCGAAAGCCUGACGGAGCAACGCCGCGUGAGUGAUGAAGGUCUUCGGAUCGUAAAACUCUGUUAUUAGGGAAGAACAUAUGUGUAAGUAACUGUGCACAUCUUGACGGUACCUAAUCAGAAAGCCACGGCUAACUACGUG